AGCUACAGAGACUUCUUUUUUUUUUAAUGUUAAAGGAAACGUUAUAGUCUUCAUCCAGUUUCUUGUCAAUUAAAUCGCAUAGUCUAGAAACCCUUGACUGUUUUCUAAUUUGGACUCUGGUACUUUGAUUUUGUUGUCGUUCCAUCUGCUAAGGAAAUAACAUCCUGAUUACUACUACUCUUGACAGGAAUUAGAUAAACAGACAUCCAUAUUUCAUUAUUUGCAUGGCUGAUCAUUUAUGGAACAUCGCAGAUCUGAGGGUUCCUGGCCAAAAUUUGGCAAGAUCCAGAUCCGGGUUUUGAAUGUAGUGGUGCAUUGGCUUCCCAGGUCUUUCCGUGCAACAAGACCAGCUGCUGAAAGAAGAUCUAAAAAUCUUUCAUGGGGAUUCCAAUAGCAAUGGUCACUCUUUUCUUUCAUGUGAAGAUGACCAGGCUAAAAAUUAAAGAAAGAAAGUUAUGCUUUCAGCAAUGAUUCAUAAUACAGUAGAACUUCAGAGUUAUGAAGACCAGAGUUACAAACUGACCAGUCAACCACAUACCUCAUUUGGAACCAGAAGUACACAAUCAGGCAGCAGCAGAGACCAACUAUCCCUC